GAUGAAGAACGUAGCGAAAUGCGAUACGUAAUGUGAAUUGCAGAAUUCAGUGAAUCAUCGAAUCUUUGAACGCAUAUUGCGCUCUCUGGUAUUCCGGAGAGCAUGCUUGUUUGAGUAUCAGUAAACACCUCAACUUCCAUAUCUUUUUUGAAAUGGGAGUUGGACUUGAGUGAUCCCAACGCUUUUCCUCACCGAAAAGUGGCGGGUUACUUGAAAUGCAGGUGCAGCUGGACUUUUCUCUGAGCUAUAAGCAUAUCUAUUUAGUCUGCCUAAAAAACAGAUUAUUACCUUUGCUGCAGCUACAUAAAGGAGAUUAGUUCUUGUGCUGACUGAUGCAGGAUUCACAAAGACAGGCUUCGGCCGACUUUGUAAACUCGAUCUCAAAUCAAGUAAGACUACCCGCUGAACUUAAGCAUAUCAAUAAGCGGAGGA
rnacentral:misc_RNA from 1 species